UACAGAGGGGGCAAGCGUUAUUCGGAAUUAUUGGGCGUAAAGGGCGCGUAGGCGGCUUGGCAAGUGGAAGGUGAAAUCCCUCGGCUCAACUGAGGAACUGCCUUUGAAACUGUCUGGCUUGAGGCCGGGAGAGGGUAGCGGAAUUCCCAGUGUAGCGGUGAAAUGCGUAGAUACUGGGAGGAACACCGGUGGCGAAGGCGGCUACCUGGACCGGUUCUGACGCUGAGGCGCGAAAGCGUGGGUAGCAAACAGG
rnacentral:rRNA from 1 species